ensembl:lncRNA
UUGUCAUCAAAGUGCAAGAAACUGCGAAUAUCUUUAAAUCUUUGAAUUGACAUAGUGGCCUUGUACAAUGGGUUAUGCAGAGGACUCCCAAAAAACACACUGACUGGUACAUCCCAGUUCUUCUCACUUCCUGCAAAAAUGGUCAAUCAAAUGAAGGCCAGGAGCUUUUGUUUGAUUACAUUUUUCCACUCUUUUCCCCUGUCUGUGGCUACUCUUCAUGCCUCCAUGUUUGUGCAUGUCAGCACCUCUUCUAUUAUAUUAUCACACAUGAACAUCUUCCAUGCAUUUACUGGGGACACAGUACUAAACCCAGGUGCAAGCCCUGGCCGACUAAUUCAGAAUAUUGUGGCCAGAGCAGUAAGAGGGGCUCAUUCUGUUAGACUCAAUAUCCAUUUCCUCUUCAGAGGACUCCUCUGUAUCUGACUAGUCUUGUUCGGGGGGAGGGGGACGACAAUAGUCUGGGUCCUCUAUAUCUGAGAUGUCCGAUUCUGAGUCAAUGCCUCCGAUGGUCUCUUCAUCCCAUCCGUCCUGGAUCAUUUGUAGGGCAAGGUCCACAGCUGGCCUCAUAGCAGCCAUGUUACUUUAGAUAUUAAAAAAACAAACAAACAAACAAACAAACAAACAAACAAAAAAAACACCAGAAAGGACAAUGUUUGAAAUGCACAGAAAACUAUAAACAGGGCUGCACAUACAAUUUCUUCGUAAAUCAGGGUGGAAAAUAAGUAUUUGGUCAAUAACAAAAAUACAACUCAAUACUUUGUAACAUAACCUUUGUUGGCAAUAACAGAGGUCAAAUGUUUACUAUAGGUCUUUACCAGGUUUGCACACACAGUAGCUGGUAUUUUGGCCCAUUCCUCCAUGCAGAUCUUCUCAAGAGCAGUGAUGUUUUGGGGCUGUCGCCGAGCAACACGGACUUUCAACUCCCGCCACAGAUUUUCUAUGGGGUUGAGGUCUGGAGACUGGCUAGGCCACUCCAGGACUUUCAAAUGCUUCUUACGGAGCCACUCCUUUGUUGCCCGGGCGGUGUGUUUUGGAUCAUUGUCAUGUUGGAAGACCCAGCCUCGUUUCAUCUUCAAAGUUCUCACUGAUGGAAGGAGGUUUUGGCUCAAAAUCUCACGAUACAUGGCCCCAUUCAUUCUGUCCUUAACACGGAUCAGUCGUCCUGUCCCCUUGGCAGAAAAACAGCCCCAUAGCAUGAUGUUUCCACCCCCAUGCUUCACAGUAGGUAUGGUGUUCUUGGGAUGCAACUCAGUAUUCUUCUUCCUCCAAACACGACGAGUUGAGUUUAUACCAAAAAGUUCUUUUUUUUUUUUUUUUUUUUUUUAAAUGACAUCAGAAACAGCAGUAUGCGACAUUACGUGAUGGCAGAGCUUCAGUUCAUCCUUUGUCAUUUUUUUUUUUUUUUUUUUUUUAAUAAAUAGGACAGGGGGAAUGAAUGAGAGAGAGGGGGAGAGAAAGAAAGAAAACCAAAGGGGAGAAGAGACGGUGAGAAGGGGGGGAAGAGAGACAAAAAAAAAAAAAAACUCCUGGGUCACCUGUAUGGAGAAAAAAAAACAAACAAACAAACAAACAAAAACAAACAGAGGAGACAGCAAACAACAAAGAGCAACAUAAUAAUAGAGAAAACAAAGCACCAUCACAAUAAACUAGCUAGUCAUAGAUAUCAGUAUUUACUAAGUAAUAAACGAUAUUGUGCAGCACGCAAGAUAGACAGCGCACAGUGUGCUUUGAGGCAGCAGCCAAGAAAGCUUUAGUCCGCGUCUGUGAAUACCCAUGUCACCGCCAAGAAUGAUUGUGCAAUCAAGGUGUUCAGAGAGUGCACUAAAAAAACCGUGGAAGAAUGAGGGUUCAUCAACAUUUGGACCAUAUAUACUAACAAUACAUAGUUUUUUGUUCAAUAUUGAUAGUUUAAUAAUUAGAAAUCUACCCUCUGGAUCUAUAACUGUAUCGAGUACUGUAAAAUUAACAUUUUUAUGUAUUGAAAUUGCUACUCCCCGUUGUCUAGAAUUAUAACCGGCUGCAAACACGUUAGGAAACUCAGGUGUUUUAA